AUAUUCGGAGGAACACCAGUGGCGAAGGCGGCUCACUGGCUCGAUACUGACGCUGAGGUGCGAAAGUGUGGGGAGCAAACAGGAUUAGAUACCCUGGUAGUCCACACCGUAAACGAUGAAUGCCAGUCGUCGGAUAGCAUGCUAUUCGGUGACACACCUAACGGAUUAAGC
rnacentral:rRNA from 1 species